rnacentral:rRNA from 1 species
CCUACGGGGGGCAGCAGUGGGGGAUAUUGCACAAUGGGGGCAACCCUGAUGCAGCGAAGCCGCGUGUGGGAAGACGGUCCUCUGGAUUGUAAACCACUGUCCCCAGGGAAGAAGAUGACGGUACCUGGGGAGGAAGCUCCGGCUAACUACGUGCCAGCAGCCGCGGUAAUACGUAGGGAGCGAGCGUUGUCCGGAAUUACUGGGUGUAAGGGGAGCGUAGGCGGGACUGCAAGUUGGGUGUAAAAUCUACCGGCUCAACCGGUAGCCGCACUCAAAACUGCAGUUCUUGAGUGAAGUAGAGGCAGGCGGAAUUCCUAGUGUAGCGGUGAAAUGCGUAGAUAUUAGGAGGAACACCAGUUGCGAAGGCGGCCUGCUGGGCUUUUACUGACGCUGAGGCUCGAAAGUGUGGGGAGCAAACAGGAUUAGAUACCCGUGUAGUC